rnacentral:rRNA from 1 species
GACGAACGCUGGCGGCGUGCCUAAUACAUGCAAGUAGAACGCACAGUUUAUACCGUAGCUUGCUACACCAUAGACUGUGAGUUGCGAACGGGUGAGUAACGCGUAGGUAACCUGCCUGGUAGCGGGGGAUAACUAUUGGAAACGAUAGCUAAUACCGCAUAAUAUUGAUUAUUGCAUGAUAAUUGAUUGAAAGAUGCUAUUGCAUCACUACCAGAUGGACCUGCGUUGUACUAGCUAGUAGGUGAGGUAACGGCUCACCUAGGCGACGAUACAUAGCCGACCUGAGAGGGUGAUCGGCCACACUGGGACUGAGACACGGCCCAGACUCCUACGGGAGGCAGCAGUAGGGAAUCUUCGGCAAUGGACGAAAGUCUGACCGAGCAACGCCGCGUGAGUGAAGAAGGUUUUCGGAUCGUAAAGCUCUGUUGUAAGAGAAGAACGGGUGUGAGAGUGGAAGGUUCACACUGUGACGGUAUCUUACCAGAAAGGGACGGCUAACUACGUG